rfam:Triticum urartu cultivar G1812 contig974979, whole genome shotgun sequence.
CAAGUACUCCCUCCGUCAAGAAUUACUUGUCAUCAAAAUGGAUGUGGCUAGAACUAAAAUACAUCUAGAUACAUCCAUUUCAAUGACAAGUAUUUUCGGACGGAGGGAGUACAAG